AUACGGAGGAAAAGAAACCAACAGGGAUUGCCUCAGUAGCGGCGAGUGAAGCGGCAAAAGCUCAAAUUUGAAAUCUGGCGUCUUUGGCGUCCGAGUUGUAAUUUGAAGAAGGUAUCUUUGGGCCCGGCUCUUGUCUAUGUUCCUUGGAACAGGACGUCACAGAGGGUGAGAAUCCCGUGCGAUGAGAUGGCCCGGGUCUAUGUAAAGUUCCUUCGACGACUCGAGUUGUUUGGGAAUGCAGCUCUAAGUGGGUGGUAAAUUCCAUCUAAAGCUAAAUAUUGGCGAGAGACCGAUAGCGAACAAGUACAGUGAUGGAAAGAUGAAAAGAACUUUGAAAAGAGAGUGAAAAAGUACGUGAAAUUGUUGAAAGGGAAGGGCUUGAGAUCAGACUUGGUAUUUUGCAAGUUACUCUUUCGGGGGUGGCCUCUGCGGUUUACCGGGCCAGCAUCGGUUUGGAGCGGUAGGAUAAUGGCGGGGGAAUGUGGCACGACUUUGGUUGUGUGUUAUAGCCUCUGACGAUACUGCCAGCCUAGACCGAGACUGCGGUUUUUACCUAGGAUG
rnacentral:rRNA from 1 species